rnacentral:rRNA from 1 species
UACGUAGGCAGCGAGCGUUGUUCGGAGUUACUGGGCGUAAAGAGUGCGUAGGCGGUUUUCUAAGUUGGUGUGAAAUCUCCCGGCUUAACUGGGAGGGUGCGCCGAAAACUGGAAGGCUUGAGUAUGGGAGAGGUAAGCGGAAUUCCUGGUGUGAGCGGUGAAAUGCGUAGAUAUCAGGAGGAACACCUGCGGUGUAGACGGCUUACUGGACCAUAACUGACGCUGAGGCACGAAGCGUGGGUAGCAAACAGG